GAAUGAUUGGAGUAUGUCGGGGAGAUGAGUGUGUGCAGGUAUGUCCAGGAAGGUCUGUAUGCCCCUGAACUGGGCGCUGCCCAGCCGGAGGGCACUUCGGCUUUGUUCCCGUGGUCCCUUUGCUUGCGUAUGGCAUUUGUUUAUCACCACAUUAUCCACAUGUUACACUUGACUGCUUUUGAGAAACUUGUGUAUUUUGGGGGCUAUAUUUUAAGAGUCCUUAGAUGUGUUAAUCUAGAGAGAUGGGUGCUUUAAAGUGUUUCCCAGAUCCCUUGUACUUUAUUUGCUUUGUGCAAAUGUACAGAAGUAUGGGAAUAAGAAAUUUAGAUGUGUAAGGAAGAAAUGGCUAACAGCUAAAGAAUCAAAAGGUGGUCUUUCUCAGCACGACCUAGAGUGCUUUCCUGAGUCAGGAUGUGAUUGGUGAAGGAGGGACUUCCUUCUAAUGGCUGGUGGGGAUGUGGAAAAGGAACUGAAGUGAAUGGUUAUCCUGGGAAGUGAAGAAAAAUCCAUGUCUGAGUUGUUAGGAUACAGGCUGUGAGCAAAGAACAUAGGGCGAAACCACGAAACUGGACAGAGAUGAAGUACAGCACUGAAUGGGGACCGUGUGCUGAGAGGCCAUCCCGCGGUCCUUGUACAAACAUGCGGAGCCCUCUUUGGAGUUACUGGGUGAUUGCCCUUUGUCGUGUGACUUCACUUUCACGGACCACUUUAAUAAACCUGUGUUAGAGACAGAUGGUCUUGCACAUGAGUCUAAAGAGAACCCAACUCUUGAGGGUUUAAGGACCACAGCUACGUUGUCUGCUUUGACACAGAAAGGAAGAUAGUUAAGCUAAUGGUGACCCUAAAGAAAGAAAUAGGUUAGAGUUAUAUUUUGUGGAGGGAAUUUGACUUUAAUUCAUGAAGGAAGGAGGGUUGAAAAAGAAGCUAUGGAAGGCAAUGUAGUUUUCUACAUGUUCCUGAACUUUUUGAACACAAGCUAAAUUGUUACUGGUUUCUCCUUAGAGCGGCGCCAUUACUGUUUCUGCCCUUGUGCAUGCUGUGCACGCUGUUCCAGGCGCUGUCCCUGCACUGCUCAGAUAACCCUCCCAGUGACCCCACGGGGCACAGGCUUUAACGCUAGGUGAAUUUUGCAGAGCACUAUUGGGAGUAUUUUGAUUCCAAAUUGAGGAAAAAUACACAAACUACUUGAAAAACAUUUUAUUUAAUUUAUUUUUUUAAAAGGUUUUAUUUAUUUAUUUGACAGAGAGACACAGCGAGAGCGGGAACACAAGCAGGGGGAGUGGGAGAGGGAGAAGCAGGCUCCCCGCAGAGCAGGGAGCCCGAUGCGGGACUCGAUCCCAGGACCCUGGGAUCAGGACCUGAGCCGAAGGCAGACGCGUAACGACUGAGCCACCCAGGCACCCCUUGAAAAACAUUUUAAAUUUAGCUUUUAUAAAAUUUCUGGGGGAAAAUGUAAGAAAACAAAGCACACUCUGGGUAAAAUACCUGUUGCCUCACCCAUUUACCUGUGCUAACUUUUCAAUAUUUUAGAACAUGAAUGCAUGUGAGGUGGGGGGGAGGGCAGAGAGAGAAUCCCAAGUAGGCUCUGUGCUGGGCAGGGCUCAGUCCCAUGACCCUGAUAUCAUGACCUGAGCCUAAACCAAGAGUCGAAUGCUCCCAGGCACCACUACCUGUGUCCAUUUUUAACUACUUGUUUUUGAGUACAUGAAGACUAGAUUGCAAAUAUAUAAUUUCAAGUAAAAUGCAGUUAAAUGUAAUGUUGAAUAGUGAAUGUUACUGGGAUCACAAUAAGCAUAGGAUUAAUUUUUAAUGAGCUGGAGAAAUUUUAAGUUACACCAGAAAUAAAAGGCCCUGUGCCAUCCCUCCUGUUUAGGAUUGGAAGAGACCCCAUUAGCUGCUGGUGAGCAAGGAGCAGGGGCAGGGCUUCUCUUACCACGCUGCAUGAGGAUGACUUUUGCCUUUAGAUUUUUCUGCAGGUGUUCAUAGUACUUUGAGGUAACUUUCUUGGGUUAAAAAUUAUAAGGAUGGCAAAAUAUUCAAAGCUGGGUGGUGGGCACGACAAAGAGAAAUUGUUUUCUUAAUUUCACUUAUAAUUGUGCCAAAAAGAAUAAAAAAGGAAUAAACAUAAUCACGGAGGUGAAAGACCUGUACUGUGAACACUACAAAACAGUGAAGGAGCUUGAAGACGACACCAACAAAUGGAAACACACCCCUGGAUUAGAGGAGUCCAUGCUGUUAACGUGCCCAUGGUCCCCAAAGCAGUCUGCAGAUUCGAUGCAGUGCCUGCCAGAAUCACAGUAGUACUGAUCCCAGAACUAGAACAAGUAAUACUACAGUUUGUGCGGAGCCACAGAAGACUUGAAAUAGCCGAGGCAGUCUUGAGGAAGAACGACGCUGGAGGGAUCCUAAUCCCCGAUUCCAGGGCACACUACAGAGCUGUAGCGGUCCCAGUACAGUGCGGGCGGAGGAGUCGACACAGAUCAGUGGAGCAGAACUGCGAGCCCAGAAAGCCUACAGCUGUGUGUCUAAUACAAAUAAAUAUUAUAGAAAUCCGUGGCAGAGGAGGCAAGAAUAUAUAAUGGGGAAAGACGGGGUCUCUUCAGACAGUGGUGUUGGGGAAAACUAGACCACUUUCUUAAACCACACACAAAAAUAAACUCAAAAUGGAUUAAAGAUCUAAAUGUGAGACCUGAAAUCAUAAAACUCCUAGAAGAAAACAAAAGCAGUAAUUUCUUUGACAACGGCCAUAGAAACCUUUUUCUUGGUAUGUCUCCUCAGGCAAGGGAAACAAAAAACUAUUAGGAGUACACCAAAAUAAAAAGCUUUAGCACAGCAAAGGAGCCAUCAACAAAUGAAAAAGACAACUUGCUGAAUGGAAGAAGUUAUUUGGAAGUGACCUAUCUGAUAAAGGGUUAGUAUCUAAAAAUAUAUUAAGAACUUACACAAAUGAACAUCAAAAAAUCCGAUUAAAAAUGGGCAGAGGACCUGAAUAGACAUUUUCCCAAAGACCUACAUGUGGUCCAAAGACCCAUGAAAAGAUGCUCAACAUCACGAACCACCACAGACUUACAUCUCAGAACCACGGUGUGAGAGAACCCCUCAUCUCCGUUGGAAUAGCUAGUAUCGGGAAGACCAUUAGGAGGUGUUGACGAGGAUGUGGAGGAAGGGGAGCCCUCGGGCACUGUUUUGGGAAUGUAAAUUGGUGCAGCCACUGUGGGAAACAAUAUCAUGGUUCUUCAGAUUGCAAAUAGAAAUACCGUAUGAUCAGUAACUCCAUUACUGAGUAUUUGCCCAAAGAAAACAAACACUAAUUUAAAAAGAUACACGCACCUCCGUGUUUAUUGCAGCAUUAUUUGUAAUAGGCAAGAUGUAGAAGCAACCCAGGUAUCCAGACAGAUGAGUAAAGGUGGUAUAUAUUCACAAUGAAAUAUUACUUAGCCAUAAAGAAUAAAAUCUUGCCAUUUGCAAUAACAAGGAUGGACCUAGAGGGUAUAAUGCUGAGUGAAAUAAGUCAGAGAAGGACAAGUACCACCUUAGUCCACUUGCAUGUGUUAUCUGAUAAAUGACAUAAAAAGCAAAAACAAACCCAUAGAGAACAAACUGAUGAUUGCCAGAGGGGUUGGGGGAUGGGCAAAGUGCGCAAGAGGGAGAAGGAGAACAACAACUCGGGGACAGGUGGAUCUCCAGCUACCCGUAACUUUCUAUUUUGUUUGAAAUUUUCCAUAAUCUAAAAUCAGUUUGCGGCUUCCUGAGCAUUAGUUUUGUGAUCUCUCGAUUGUGUACGGCACCGCCAUUCCCAAGGCAAGGACUGGUGUUCUCAGGGUGCGCUCUCAAAGCCCUUGGGCGCACACACUGACUCCGUGCUUGCACCUCUGGUUGGGCAGGUCCCGCCUGACCACCUCGGAGCUUGCUGUCCUCAGAAUCUUGCUUCUGGGUCUCUGAAUCUGUCUGUUCCUGGACAGCUUUCCUGCUUGUGAGGUUGGCACGUUUGAGCAGUUCUAACGUUUUGUUUGUACGGACCUGGAAAUUUUAACUUCCUUAUCUUGGCACUUCCCUGUUGCUUCCUCAUUACUCUUUUCUUGGGGUGAGUUCUCCCCGCUCCUCACCAGCAGCCUGUGCUGAGCUCUUUCUGUGCCCCUCUGCUGCACACUGGGCCCCUCCCCCAGACGGAAGGGCUCUGUAACUGCAUUGGAGAGUGGGGGCCUCAGGCUGUGACUUGGGUCUUGUUUUUCCUCCUGUCUGAGGCUGACUUCAUCCUCUUUCAUUGGUGAAUAAACUGGUACGGACUGCUAUGGGGUUUCCUCCUGUCCCUCUAUACCCUGAGUUUUCAUCCCUUAACUCCUGGUAAGUAUGACCGUGGGCUCCCGAAGUUUCCCCCCGCCACAUCUGGGGAGAGUAGUCAGAUGAGGAGGGGAUGUGGUUGCUUCCUGUCACCCUUCACUUGGGGGAGUCCUGAUGUAAGCCCUUAAAGCAUUUUCUGUCCCUGUGGUCUCUACUACCUCCUGGGACUGGGGCCAGCCCUAGUCACUGAGCUCCCAGAGGGUCUUUUAGGCAUGCAAGACUGUAUAUCUGUGUGUUCCUCAUGGUUUAAAUCUUCCCAGUUCCUCUGUCCAGCAAGCAUGGGAAUACUGGGCUGGUUCAAUGUAUUAUGUGUCAUCAAUUCUGAGAGCUCUUUAAAACCUUUUUACACAUCUGAAAGUAGCAAGUGUCUUAAUGGCUGAUGGUAUGUCCUGACAGCAUUUGGAAUACAAAGGGGGCAUCAUCUAGUUGCUGGCAUCUUCUUUUUGACGGAAUACGUUCUGAGGAAACAAACUUAGAGAAGUCCUAUUUACACGAGGUCUCGAGACUGGGAAAUACUAGCCAUUGGAGUAGAAAUUGAGUCUUCCCUUGACAGGCUUUUCUUCUUUCAGUGAAAUUAUGGGUACUUCCAGGAAACAGAGGAUGGAGUUCAUAUGAAGGCAGUGCUCUGGGAUAUCCUGGUUUUGGAUUAUUAUGAUAACUUCAGAAUGUGGGAUAAAAAAAUUGCUUGGUGAGGAUCUGGAUGUGCACGGUAUUGACAAGCAGGCCUUUGUGGGCAUCGGGAGGUGGCUUUUAAGAACAGACGUGGUGGGGACAGGUUCCUGCUCCCAGAGGAGGUACUCUACAUGUACUCCACCAUUUACUCCCCUCACUGACCUGAAACCUACAUCUAGAAGACAGCUUGAUGAGUUUUUACAAGUCACACAAUCCCAUGUAAGAUCGAGAAGCAGAACAUGACCAGUGUCACCUUUGUUAGGUUUGCCUUUCCCAAAGGCAUCUGCUGUCCUGAUUUCUGACCGUGAAGAUGACCUUUACUUGUUUUGUAUUUGACAUAAAUGGAAUUCCCCAGCGUAUACUCGCUCUGUGAGCGGCUGCUUGGGCUCAGCCCAUUAUAUUGUGGGCUGUCGUGGCGUGUCAGCUUGAACCCAGAUACCUCAUGAGCUUUAGUGGCAGGAGCACUUAGAAAAAGGGGAAGGAGAGAAAUCCAAAAUAAGAUGGUGGUUAAAUACGUGGUUGCGGUUUCCUGACCCCAGCGGCAGUGACUUGAGCACUCCUUGUCCGCGUCGGGCCGUGUGGAGUCCUUGUGGCCUCCUGUCUGGUGCACCCCCUUGCUGCAUCUUGCUCUUAGCAGCAUUCCUCAGAACAGCGUCUUACAUUUAUGUCUCUAGUAGGUGCUGGACCAGUGGACAUCUGUGGAAGUAGAAAUGCAGACCGACCAGGCUGGCCCCCGUCCUUCUGUUGUGGAGUGUCUGAAGUGGAAGAAGCGUCUGUGGUGUUUGCCUGACGUGUGCCUGAGUGCAGAGAAUUUGCAACUUGGGGGAGUGUAGUUGACCUCAUUUGUCCUGUUCCGGUCACUGUGGCACCUGGUUGCUGAGCCGAGGUGGAUCGCUGGCUGUAGGGUGAUUCCUGGGGGGCAGUUUGAGCUCCGUGGGGCCCGCUCUGUGUGUGUGCUUGCUUACGUGUUGUGUUCCGUUGUGGAAGUUGAUCACCAGGAUUGGCUCUGUGCAGGUUUUCUACAAAGCCAACUUGCCCAAGGUGGGUCACAGAAAGGAAGAUGGUGGUGGAUGACCCAUGCAGGAGGACCGUGGUUUGCAGAGAUGAGCUGACCCAGCGUGGCAGCCUGACCUGGCUUCCCUCCCCAGAGCGGGGACCGAUGUGCCCUUUCUAGUACGGGGCUUCAGCUGCCCCUCGCUGUUCAAGUCUGCCAGCAAGCAUCACAUGUGAGGUGACUGGUUGGCCAGAGCUUUGUCUUUCAGUGUUGCCAGACGCUCAGGAGAUUUCCAUACUGAGCAUUCUAAGCAUUAAAUGUGCAGUAGGUACGACGUGUUUAAUUUACUAGAGAAGACAUUUAAUGGAUGUAUCUAACUGAGUAAGUUUUUGGCAUUUAUAUUAACGUAAAAUACGCAAGUAAGUGUUGAACAUCUGCCCCUCUUGAAGCCCUGUCCCGCUGUUUGUGCUUCUCUCUUUCUCUCUCUCUUUGGUGACACAUGAACCUAGUUUGGAAUCAGGUCCUUCAGGACCUGGUGCAGCAGGAACCAGGCAGCCAGCUACUUCCCGCCUUUCCCGUUGUCUCAGUAAAUGCCUGUGUGAAGCUUAGCUUCUUAGACCUGCCAUGGAGUGGGGGUCUUCGGGUCUCAUGCUGCACCCUGGGCCCGAACCUUCCUCUUGCCUGGGUUUCCCCUGUGGCUUCUGUUGGGUCCGGUCCGCGUAACGUCACCAUGUCCCAGACCCACAGCGCGGCUGAGGCGUGUGCUGUGAUUGCUCGUCCUUUCCUGACCACGUUUUGUUAUCUAGAGUUAAUAACUGUUGCCUGUUUGAGCUUUCUGUGCAUCCUUGCGGACUGCAGCCCUGGUCUUCUGCCUGUUUCUAAGACUCUCCUGUACAUUCAGACCUGCUUAGGAUUUUUCACUUCUUCCCCGGGAACUCCCCUGCAGUCUUGUGGCCACUUGAGAGUCUCCUGGUUGUUGCCAGGCUCCUGCCAACUUCCGUCUGAGCUGUCCUCCUGCGUCACCCUCUCCUCCCUCUGACCCAGGCCCGUCCCUCCCUCCUCCAUAGAGAAGACGUAGCGUCUUCUGUUUUUCCCUGGCUGAUUCCCCUGUUUUGGAGGGGCACGUCUUUCAGUAACUUGACGAGAGGGUGCACGGGCCAUGAAGUGUUUGAGAGCUUGCAUGGCACCACAUGCCUUUUUCAUACUAAUUCUAAGCUUUGCUUCAGUUUUCCAUAGUGUAGUUACGACGUGACUUGGUUGGGGCUUCUUUGGGCUGCUUCUGCUUGGGGUUCACGCGGUUUCUUGACUCUGUAGGUUGGUGUCUUCUGCCGGGUCGGGGACAUGUUUAGCUGUGUUUCUCAAACCACCUUCCGGCACGGCUCUUUCUCCUCCACGAUCCCGAUGACGCCAGUCUCAGGUCUGUCAUUUUCCACACAUCCCUGGGGCUCCCCGUGUUUUCACCACUGUUUUGAGUAAAUUUUGUAAGUUCUUUUUUCUUUUUUGAGGUUUUCUGUCUCAUUCCUCAAUUUUGAGAGAACUUGUAAUGGUUUUUGGAGCCUUUUGAUGAAAGCCCUUUGUGAUCCCAGCAUCUGCUGCAUGUCCGUGCUGCCGUCGGCCGCUUCACUGGUUCAGGCUGGGAUUGUCCUGGUUCUCUGAGUGAGCGGUGCUUUGCCUUGUAUUCUCGACACUUGGGAGGAAUGCAAGGAGAUGCUGCAUCCUGCUUUUACGUCUGGUGUGUUUGCAGGCCGUGACCCUGACUGGGCUUGAUAUAAUGGUCCUGUCCUGUGUUGCCUUUCAGAGAUGGGCACAUGUGCUUAAUCUCUGAGGAAAAAAAGCAAAUGAAAAGGAGAUACCAUUUCUUGCCAGCAGUUGGGCGCAAAUGAAAAUGCUGGGCAAUAUUCAGUGCUGGGGAGUGUGCAGAGAGCCAGCUCUUCAAUACUGUUGGGGGAGUGUCGCUGGCUGUAAGUAGAACCUCUCUGGAGGGCGGUUUGGAAAUUGGUACUAAAAUUUAGAAUGUGUCAUACAUGUUUUUUGACCUGAAUUUAAUGUGUAGGCUUAUUUACAGGUGUGUUCAGAGAUGUGCAGAUAAGAUAGUUUUAAUGCAACCUUGUUUUGCAGUAGAAAAACAGUAGCAAUAACCUUAGAUCCAGUAAUGGAGAAUGAGUUAAUGGCAUGGCCAUACAGUUCAGUUGCAUGGUUGGUUAAGACUAAAGUAAUUAUGCUAGAAAUGACCACACUGUGUUAACUUUUGAUAAAU